CCUACGGGGGGCAGCAGUCGAGAAUCAUUCACAAUGGGGGAAACCCUGAUGGUGCGACGCCGCGUGGGGGAAUGAAGGUCUUCGGAUUGUAAACCCCUGUCAUGUGGGAGCAAAUUAAAAAGAUAGUACCACAAGAGGAAGAGACGGCUAACUCUGUGCCAGCAGCCGCGGUAAUACAGAGGUCUCAAGCGUUGUUCGGAAUCACUGGGCGUAAAGCGUGCGUAGGCUGUUUCGUAAGUCGUGUGUGAAAGGCGCGGGCUCAACCCGCGGACGGCACAUGAUACUGCGAGACUAGAGUAAGGGAGGGGGAACCGGAAUUCGCGGUGUAGCAGUGAAAUGCGUAGAUAUCGAGAGGAACACUCGUGGCGAAGGCGGGUUCCUGGACAUUAACUGACGCUGAGGCACGAAGGCCAGGGGAGCGAAAGGGAUUAGAUACCCGGGUAGUC
rnacentral:rRNA from 1 species